AUGGUUCUGCUAUCACUCUUGGGAUGGACCUGCGGUGCAUUAGCUAGUUGGUAGGGUAACGGGCGUACCAAGGCGAUGAUGCAUAGCCCGAGUUGAGAGACUGAUCGGGCCACAUUGGGGACUGAGACACGGGCCCAAACUCCUACGGGAGGCAGCAGUAGGGAAUCCUCCACAAUGGACGCAAGUCUGAUGGAGCAAACGCCGCGUGAGUGAAGAAGGGUUUCGGCUCGUAAAAAGCUCUGUUGUUGGUGAAGAAGGACAGGGGUAGUAACUGACCCUUUGUUUGACGGUAAUCAAUUAGAAAGUCACGGGCUAACUACGUGCCAGCAGCCGCGGUAAAU
rnacentral:rRNA from 1 species